rnacentral:ncRNA from 1 species
GUGUUGUAUGAAAGGAGAGAAGGUUAGCACUCCCCUUGAUAAGGAUGGAAGAGGUCCUAGUGACCUUUACAACACGCAUAUGGUUAAGGCAUUUUUGUUUAUGCUAAUUCAGUCUGUCU